CCUACGGGGGACUGCAGUGAGGAAUAUUGGUCAAUGGGCGAGAGCCUGAACCAGCCAAGUCGCGUGAAGGAUGACGGCCCUACGGGUUGUAAACUUCUUUUGUCAGGGAGCAAUUGGCGCUACGUGUAGCGGUAUCGAGAGUACCUGAAGAAAAAGCAUCGGCUAACUCCGUGCCAGCAGCCGCGGUAAUACGGAGGAUGCGAGCGUUAUCCGGAUUUAUUGGGUUUAAAGGGUGCGUAGGCGGAAUGCCAAGUCAGCGGUAAAAUCGCGGGGCUCAACCUCGCUCCGCCGUUGAAACUGGCGUUCUUGAGUGGGCGAGAAGUAUGCGGAAUGCGUGGUGUAGCGGUGAAAUGCAUAGAUAUCACGCAGAACUCCGAUUGCGAAGGCAGCCUACUAAACUGCCACUGACAUUGAUGCUCGAAAGUGUGGGUAUCAAACAGGAUUAGAUACCCGAGUAGUC
rnacentral:rRNA from 1 species